CUAGCCGUAAACGAUGGAUACUAGGCGUUGUGAGUAUCGACCCUCACAGUGUCGUAGCUAACGCGUUAAGUAUCCCGCCUGGGGAGUACGCGCGCAAGCGUGAAACUCAAAGGAAUUGGCGGGGGCCCGCACAAGCGGUGGAGUAUGUGGUUUAAUUCGAUGCAACGCGAAGAACCUUACCAGGACUUGACAUGUCGCGAAUCUCAGGGAAACUUGAGAGUGCCUUCGGGAGCGCGAACACAGGUGGUGC
rnacentral:rRNA from 1 species